GGAAUAACCUUGCGAAAGUAAGACUAAUACCCAAUGACAUCCCACGAAGGCAUCCGAAUGGGAUUAAAGAUUUAUCGGUGAUGGAUGGGGAUGCGUCUGAUUAGCUUGUUGGCGGGGUAACGGCCCACCAAGGCAACGAUCAGUAGGGGUUCUGAGAGGAAGGUCCCCCACAUUGGAACUGAGACACGGUCCAAACUCCUACGGGAGGCAGCAGUGAGGAAUAUUGGUCAAUGGGCGAGAGCCUGAACCAGCCAAGUAGCGUGCAGGAUGACGGCCCUAUGGGUUGUAAACUGCUUUUAUAAGGGAAUAAAGUGGGUCACGUGUGACUUUUUGCAUGUACCUUAUGAAUAAGGACCGGCUAAUUCCGUGCCAGCAGCCGCGGUAAUACGGAAGGUCCGGGCGUUAUCCGGAUUUAUUGGGUUUAAAGGGAGCGUAGGCCGGAGAUUAAGCGUGUUGUGAAAUGUAGAGGCUCAACCUCUGCACUGCAGCGCGAACUGGUCUUCUUGAGUACGCACAACGUGGGCGGAAUUCGUGGUGUAGCGGUGAAAUGCUUAGAUAUCACGAAGAACUCCGAUUGCGAAGGCAGCUCACGGGAGCGCAACUGACGCUGAAGCUCGAAAGUGCGGGUAUCGAACAGGAUUAGAUACCCUGGUAGUCCGCACGGUAA
rnacentral:rRNA from 1 species